CAAUAGCGUAUAUUAAAGUUGUUGCGGUUAAAAAGCUCGUAGUUGGAUCUCGGCGAGCAGGGGGCGGUUCGAUGUUCGUCGUUACUGCCCCAUUUGCUCGUGUGAUUGGCGGAGGCUGCGGGGUGCUCUUCGUUGAGUGUCCCGUGGUGCCGUCGGGUUUACUUUGAAAAAAUUAGAGUGCUCAAAGCAGGCUUCACACGCUUGAAUAUUCGUGCAUGGAAUAAUGGAAUAGGAACUCGUUUCUAUUUUGUUGGUUUUCGGAAAUUGAGUUAAUGAUUAAUAGGGACAAUUGGGGGCAUUAGUAUUCAGACGACAGAGGUGAAAUUCUUGGACCGUCUAAAGACUAACUACUGCGAAAGCAUUUGCCAAGAGUGUUUUCAUUAA
rnacentral:rRNA from 1 species